rnacentral:rRNA from 2 species
ACGGGAGGCACCAGUGGGGAAUAUUGGACAAUGGGCGCAAGCCUGAUCCAGCCAUACCGCGUGGGUGAAAAAGGCCUUCGGGUUGUAAAGCCCUUUUGUUGGGAAAGAAAUCCAGCUGGCUAAUACCCGGUUGGGAUGACGGUACCCAAAGAAUAAGCACCGGCUAACUUCUUGCCAGCAGCCGCGGUAAUACGAAGGGUGCAAGCGUUACUCGGAAUUACUGGGCGUAAAGCGUGCGUAGGUGGUCGUUUAAGUCCGUUGUGAAAGCCCUGGGCUCAACCUGGGAACUGCAGUGGAUACUGGGCGACUAGAGUGUGGUACAGGGUGGCGGAAUUCCUGGUGUAUCACUGAAAUGCGUAGAGAUCAUGAGGAACAUCCAUGGCGAAAGCAGCUACCUGGGGCCAACACUGACACUGAGGCACGAAAGCGUGUGGAGCAAACAUGAUUAGAUACCCUGGUAGUCCACUC